rnacentral:rRNA from 1 species
GACAAGCGCUGGCGGCGUGCCUAAUACAUGCAAGUCGAACGGGGAAAGCUUUCGGGUGAGUACUAGUGGCGCACGGGUGAGUAACGCGUGGAUAAUCUGCCUUAGAGUGGGGGAUAACUAGUCGAAAGAUUAGCUAAUACCGCAUAAGACCACAAGAACUGCGGUUCAAGGGGUCAAAGGUUUUUCGCUCUAAGAUGAGUCCGCGUAAGAUUAGCUAGUUGGUGAGGUAAUGGCUCACCAAGGCGACGAUCUUUAACUGGUCUGAGAGGAUGAUCAGUCACACUGGAACUGAGACACGGUCCAGACUCCUACGGGAGGCAGCAGUAGGGAAUAUUGCACAAUGGAGGAAACUCUGAUGCAGCGACGCCGCGUGAGUGAUGAAGGCCUUCGGGUCGUAAAGCUCUGUCGCAAGGGAAUAACACAAUGAAUGUACCUUGCAAGAAAGGAUCGGCUAACUUCGUGCCAGCCGCCGCGGUAA